rnacentral:rRNA from 1 species
UACGUAGGUGGCGAGCGUUGUCCGGAUUUACUGGGCGUACAGGGCGCGCAGGCGGUUCGUUAAGUUCGAGGUGAAAUCUCCUGGCUCAACUGGGAGGGGUCUUCGAAAACUGGCGGGCUUGAGGAGAGCAGAGGUGAGUGGAAUUCUGGGUGUAGUGGUGAAAUGCGUAGAUAUCCAGAGGAACACCAGUGGCGAAGGCGACUCACUGGGCUCCACCUGACGCUGAGGCGCGAAAGCGUGGGGAGCGAACCGG